AGGGUCCUCUGCUUCUGGACCAUAGUUGACUGCCAGUAACUGAAACUACAAAAAGCCAAUUCUCAGCAGGGACUUCCAUCCCGCCAACAGGGCAGUCGGGGCAGUGGACGCUUUCUCUGGCUUAUACCCACAGCUGCAGGAAGGUAACUUGACAAGGUACAGCCUAGGACAUCAGAUUUCAGAAGCCCUGGGCCUUUGACCUGACUGAGGUAUUUAAGAUGUGGAGAAAACCUUUCAUUCACUCCCUAGAGGACACCGAGGCUGCCAGCUCCUCUUUGGAGGCGGUACAGACCUUUUCCUUGACAAGAAUGGCAGAGCACUGCAAGA